rnacentral:rRNA from 1 species
UACGUAGGUGGCGAGCGUUGUCCGGAAUUACUGGGUGUAAAGGGAGCGUAGGCGGGGGAUUAAGUUGGAUGUGAAAUACUCAGGCUCAACCUGGGAGCUGCAUCCAAAACUGGUUCUCUUGAGUGUAGUAGAGGCAGGCGGAAUUCCUAGUGUAGCGGUGAAAUGCGUAGAUAUUAGGAGGAACACCAGUGGCGAAGGCGGCCUGCUGGGCUUUAACUGACGCUGAGGCUCGAAAGCGUGGGGAGCAAACAGG